AUCACCGUGUUAAUAGUUGAAGUAGAAACAAUACAGAGAAGAUUAGCAUGGUCACCAUAUAAGGUUGACACACAUAAAUCAAGAAACAAGAAUAUUUGGU